rnacentral:lncRNA from 1 species
AUACGUUAAUCAUAUUAGGCAAUUCCGUAGAUUUUAUUUAAGGAAAGUGCGAGAAUAUUCUUUUGUACACUAUUUAUCAAUUUAAUAGUUAGUUUAAUAAAAAGUAUAGUAUAAGUUAAGAUGGACCAACCUAUUUUUUAAAAAUUCUGAAUUUCAUUCUCAUGGUGACACGUGGAUACAAAACAAUGUUGUAAUGUUUCUCAAUUAAUAUAUAAGGGAUUUUAGCAAAAAAGUCCUCUUAAUAACAUGGCGGCAAAUGAGAAGUUUGGUUCUUCGAACUUGAGACAAAAACUACAACUAAGCAUUGAACUAUAGUCAUGAAUAAAGAUGGAUGAGAAUACCAACAC